rnacentral:rRNA from 1 species
UGGUGGAGUGAUUUGUCUGGUUAAUUCCGAUAACGAACGAGACCCUGUCCUGCUAACUAGGUUGUGUUUUCUCGGGUUGGUGUUUCUGGUGUUCCUUCUCGGGGCGCCGGCCCAAUCCACUUGUGAACACAACACUCUUCUUAGAGGGACUGGCGGCUGUUAGCCGCACGAGAUAGAGCAAUAACA